rnacentral:rRNA from 1 species
AAUCAACGCUGGCGGCGUGCCUAACACAUGCAAGUCGAACGCGAAAGUCCCGCAAGGGAUUAGUAGAGUGGCAAACGGGUGAGUAACACGUGGGUGACCUGCCUUCGAGUGGGGGAUAACGUCCCGAAAGGGACGCUAAUACCGCAUAACAUCCUGCCUUUGAAGAGGUGGAGAUCAAAGCUGGGGACCGCAAGGCCUGGCGCUGGAAGAGGGGCCCNCGUCUGAUUAGCUAGNGGUGAGGUAACGGCUCACCAAGGCAACGAUCAGUAUCCGGCCUGAGAGGGCGGACGGACACACUGGGACUGAGACACGGCCCAGACUCCUACGGGAGGCAGCAGUGGGGAAUUGUUCGCAAUGGGCGCAAGCCUGACGACGCAACGCCGCGUGGAGGA